UCUACUCCUCUUUCUCUCUAGCUUGGACCGAGUGUGGAGGAGCUCUCGGGUGGAGUUGUUUCGUCGCCGACGUCGUGCCGCGGAGCCGUUCGAGCGCCUGUUUAUUGCCGUAGCAUCGCGAGGAGGCCGGGCGAGGGUGCGUUUUCACCGUUCUCGACGUCGCGCCGGUGCUAGAGUCGCUGUUGAGGUGAGAUAUUUAUCAAUUCCUUAUUACUUCCGAGCUCAAGGAUGCUGUUUUGCAGAUUUCCUACGUCGACCGUUGGCGUUUCGGCUCGUACGCGACGUAGGAGUGUCAGAUUGCGACGAAACUUGGUUCUUGGAUUCAGGACUUCAAGAGGAAUCCACGAAGCCCAAAAUUUUAGGAUUUGGUGAAGAGCUUGGAGUUAGCUCGAUUUCUGGACUUGGAGGAUUUCAGUUGAUCCAGCAAGUUGUUCCGCAGCUGAGGGAGUUCUUUGUUGUCAGGGAUUAGCUCUUGAGAGCCAUCGUCUUCGGCUGCUGCUGUUGCUGAUCAGGAUCG